rnacentral:rRNA from 1 species
CCUACGGGGGGCAGCAGUGGGGAAUAUUGCACAAUGGGGGGAACCCUGAUGCAGCGACGCCGCGUGAGUGAAGAAGUAUUUCGGUAUGUAAAGCUCUAUUAGCAGGGAAGAAAAUGACGGUACCUGACUAAGAAGCCCCGGCUAACUACGUGCCAGCAGCCGCGGUAAUACGGAGGGGGCAAGCGUUACUCGGAUUUACUGGGUGUAAAGGGUGCGCAGACGGGUGUGCAAGUCUGGUGUGAAAGGCGGGGGCCCAACCCCCGGACUGCAUUGGAAACUGUAAAGCUGGAGUGCAGGAGAGGUAAGCGGAAUUCCUAGUGUAGCGAUGAAAUGCGUAGAUAUUAGGAGGAACACCAGUGGCGAAGGCGGCUUACUGGACCGCAACUGACGUUGAGGCACGAAAGCGUGGGGAGCAAACAGGAUUAGAUACCCUGGUAGUC